rnacentral:rRNA from 1 species
GUGCACCAGGCGCGAAACCUCCGCAAUACACGAAAGUGUGACGGGGCCAUCCCGAGUGCCGUCCGCUGAGGACGGCUUUCCCCAGUGUACAUAGCUGGGGGAAUAAGGAGAGGGCAAGCCUGGUGUCAGCCGCCGCGGUAAUACCAGCUCUCCGAGUGGUGGGGACGCUUAUUGGGCCUAAAGCAUCCGUAGCCGGCUGGGCAAGUCCUCCGUUAAAUCCAACGAUUCAAUCGUUGGGCUGCGGGGGAUACUGUCCAGCUUGGGGGCGGGAGAGGCCGACGGUAUUCCCGGGGUAGGGGUGAAAUCCUAUAAUCCCGGGAGGACCACCAGUGGCGAAGGCUGUCGGCUAGAACGCGCCCGACGGUGAGGGAUGAAAGCUGGGGGAGCGAACCGGAUUAGAUACCCCGGUAGU